AACGUAGGUGGCGAGCGUUAUCCGGAUUUACUGGGCGUAAAGGGUGUGCAGGCGGGGGGUCAAGUGGUGUAUGAAAGGGCGUGGCUCAACCACGCUAGGUUAUGCCAGACUGGCUCUCUUGAGGACGAAACAGGGCUGUGGAAUUCCGGGUGUAGUGGUGAAAUGCGUAGAGAUCCGGAGGAACCCCAGAGGCGAAGGCGGCAGCCUGGUUCGUACCUGACGCUCGGACACGACAGCAUGGGGAGCGAACGGGAGUUAGAAACCCUUGAUACGUCCAGUC
rnacentral:rRNA from 1 species